rnacentral:piRNA from 1 species
UAUAAAAAGGGAGGAUUGUAUCUCAAGGA